CUUGUCCUGUCAGGGAGAGAAGCUGGUGGUGCGUAGACAGCAGAGGGGAUGUUUGUGCUGAAGGAUGCUCUUUCACUGACUCUCUUUUGCAGAGUGCUGGCUGACGGUGGUGUCAGAGCACAGGCAAACCAUGCAUCUGGUGCACGUUUUCAAGGGGAGGUGGUUCAUGUGAGGGUGGGCAGCCCCCGCCAGACUGCACCAUGAACACGGAACAUCUAUACUGUGCUUGGGGUUGCUCCAGAAGUGUAAAGACCAGAGACAUCCCCUUGUUCUAGAGUCACUCUGCAGUGCCCAAGCUCACAUCAGGAGCAGGCAUUGGGCACAUCCAGAAAGCAUGGUCUGGAGGGCAACGGGGGGACCAUCGCUGGAUGUGGAUGAUGCCAACACGCUGAGUUUGUGGCCCAACUGCUCACCUUUCUCCCACAGGAACUUUGGCCCCGCCAGGCAUUUCUGAGCAUCACCAGGAGACAGACCCUACUGCAGCCACCACCACGGCAGCCAGAGUAACAGCGAGGAGGAAUCCCAGCCCCUAACUCAGCAUGUUUUCUGCUCAGGACAGAGAACAUCCUGAGCUCUCAGAGGGGAGCUCAGAGGAACGUGGUGCACUUCCAGAGAUAUCCUUGGUUGUUUUGUUGCAAUUUUCCCAGCUCCAGCCUGUUGCCAGCCAAGGGAAGCUCUCGCACACACAGCUGUGAAUUGGCACCUUCCCCCCGUUGCCCUGCCACAGCACCAAAUUGCUGUGUGGAUGAGGUCCCUCCUGUGAAGCAGCUGCAGAAAGAAGGCUUCACAAUAAACAACUGCAGCCGUUUGCAGACAUCCGCCAAAACUUCUGGGGGAUUUUUGCAGGGCUUUUCCUGUGCUCAGCUGCCUGUUCCUGUGCAGCAGCACUGUAGGCUGCACUGAAGCAAAGGCAGAGGCAGCCCUCCUCCAGCUUCCUAUUGCACACAUGCCACGGGCGUGAGAGCUGACAGGUUGUGUGAAUGAAGAGGCAGUGUUUUAAACAACAGAUGAGUGAAGAUUACGCAUUCAAACCCUGAUCCAGUCAUGCGUGGGCAAUUAUGAUAAUUAAAAGAAUUAGAUGUUAAUGCAGAACGGGGGGAAGAUCACACCUGAAGUGCCAAUUAAGGGCUCUCCUCAUGGCAGCCACCUGCCCAAGAGCUCCCCUACUGCUUUCCCAUCCCUUACCGCCUUUCCCAUCCAGCAGUGCCGCCCCGUGCUGCAGCCCGGCUGCUCCAGGAAGGCACUGAAGUCCGUCGUUCUGAUCCCACAGCAGCUCCAGUACUUCAUCCUGGGGGGAGCAGGGCUGCCUGAGCGGGGAGCCGGAGCCCACAGGGACAGGACUGCACAGACCACUCCCAGCACGUGGCAGGGUCCCUUCCCCACAUGGCUUGGAGUCGAGCAUAUAGGAAAGCAGCUCAUACACCAUCCCUACCUACUGCCCUGCUGUGCAAUGGGUGAGUAACAGUCUGGGAGAGGAAUUUACAUUUUCAUCAUAUUUUCCUCACCCAAACUGAAUGUAAAUGAGGAGCAGCACACUGAUAAUGCAGCACUAUCACAAUCCAGUCAUAGACAAUACUAUGAAUCCAAGAUAAGACUGAAAUGCUGGCCCUGUGGCUCAGCCUUAUCACUCUAUUUCCAUUCCUCAAGCUCUCUCGUCUGCCAGUUAAGACAGUGCUACUGCACAGGCUCUUCCUUCCAGCAGGAGAAGAGCAGAGGAUUGCUCAGCUUGGAAGAUACCUCACGAAGUCCCCAGUCCAUCCCCCUGCUCCAAGCUGAGUCAGCUGGGAGGGCAGAUCAGGUCAGACACAGCUUCAGCCCAUGUGGUCUAAAAAACACCCAAGGACUGGAAUGCACUGACUCAGCAACUCAAACAAAGCACCUGGCCAGGACAAAGUUUCCUAAAAAACCAUACAUUUUUCUGGCCAUUGGAGAAGCAGCCUAUUGCUUUUGGUCUAGGUGGUCUUAUCCCAACAUGCUGAUCUUAACACAUUUCCCAUUGCUUUUUUCUUUUUUCUUUAGAACGACUGUUAGGAGCUGCUCAAGAUGAACAAACCUGCUGCUGUUUCAGCAGCUGACUGGAAGAGCUGCCCUGCGAGAGGAUCAAUCCUCUGUCUGAAGGACAGGAAUGACAGAUGCCACCAAAGCAAUUAUCUGUUGUAAAGCCCUGCAGCAAAGCCCUCAAUGCAUACCACCAAAGCUUGAAUUCCCAAGCAGUAUCCCUCCUUCCCAGUACAGCUACCAGGUCAUCCCCACACCCACACUAUUUGCUGCACUAGACUGAACUUCCCUUGGAAAAUAAGGAAGUUCCCAAAGUUGCAAGCUGCAGACAUUGCCCACCACAGCAUUAUUUUCAUAGGAACAGUAACAGCCAAAUCACUGCAAGCAGUUCAAUUCCUUCACCUUGCCAAGGCAGCCCUCACCACAAUAACUGCGUGCAGACUGAGCUCAAUGGUUCCUGAAUUAAACCUGACACCCCCAACAACUCCUACAGAACACUGAAGCAACACCUUACCUCACAUUUGUAACAAGCCAGAAUGUGCACAGUUACCAUUCACCACUGAAAUUAUUAAUGCAACAAUCAUAAUUCCUGUCUAAAUAUCCUGAUUUUUCAUUUUAUCUCAGUACUAUCUCAAUGUCCCUUAGGAUCAGUUAUUAUUCUAAGAAGCAUUUUUCCUCUGCUCCUAUGGAAAUGUAGCAAACAGACUUCUUGCAAGCUAGCUGCAGCAUGCACAGUGACAAGUCUGUACAUUUCAGAGCAACAGAUUUCAGCUCAUAUCAGCACUGGAAUUACAUUCCUUCAUCAGUUCAUUUCUCAUGUCACUAUUACUGAAGCAGACAGGUUGUGGGUUUCCUACGCAAGAAAAAACAAUCCAACUUUUAUAAUCUUUUGCAAAGGAUUUGUAAUGAAUGGAACUUCUCAGAUUUCCAUUAGCUGUGUUUAAAAAUUAAAUCUGCAUUCAGAAUUCUCCCUAGGGCUUCCUCUUUGUAACUCAGCAGUGACAUAUCCUCAGCUGUGAGGAUGCCUGAAGUUUCCAAUUGUUUGAGGUCUGUAUAAGUGAGGACAAUUGGAGGCAAACGGGGUGCAAAGCUGAGCUGUGCUCACAGGGAUUGGGAGACCCACCCUUCACUCUGACCAAUCAAGCACUUAAACUUUCUUUGCCCUACAAGAAGAGUCACACAGACCUUUUGUAAAUAUAUGCAGUUUAAAAAUAAAUUCAAUAUAAAAACUAAAAAGAGCAAAUACGUAAGUACAGCCUCCAAUGAUUCUUUGCUCCUCAGUUCCUAAGCAAAUUAUCUGAACUCAUUUUUGCAUCCUCAUUAUUACCAUAAUCAUUUCAGCUUAUUAGCAUGGGAACUUAUUGUUUUCAAAAACGAGUUAUGGACAGAACACUCCUGAAAGCUCAGCUUUAUGCUUCGAGAUUCAACAUCUCCAAAUAUUCUCAGAGUGCUUCUCAAUAUGCCAUUUAAAAAAUGACCACAAAUUACUGCUAGGGUCCUUCUAACAAAGGGUUUUAGCAUUAGCUAUCUUCAAAGUAACGUAAGAAGGAUGACGUGGUUUAAUCCUCAAGAACACCAACAAAUAGCAAGGCAAGAUGAACUUGUACAGAUCUCAGCAGCAGCUAGGUAUUGGGGCUGGGGGGGCAACAACCCUGAACAGCACAGUGCUCAACAAGUGAAACAACAUCAUGUACGUUUAAGAGGUGUGCACAAGCAGCAGCUGGGGAUGCAUUACCA